AAGGCAGUCUCGUUGCAAUACCGCUUUCUCCUUGACCACGGAUGAACUGGCACUGAGACGAGCGGAUGACGAAAAGGCCGGUUUGAACCGGCCUUUUUGUUG
rnacentral:sRNA from 1 species